GUGCCAGCAGCCGCGGUAAUACGUAGGUGGCAAGCGUUGUCCGGAAUUAUUGGGCGUAAAGCGCGCGCAGGUGGUUCUUUAAGUCUGAUGUGAAAGCCCCCGGCUCAACCGGGGAGGGUCAUUGGAAACUGGGGAACUUGAGUGCAGGAGAGGAAAGUGGAAUUCCACGUGUAGCGGUGAAAUGCGUAGAUAUGUGGAGGAACACCAGUGGCGAAGGCGACUUUCUGGCCUGUAACUGACACUGAGGCGCGAAAGCGUGGGGAGCAAACAGGAUUAGAUACCCUGGUAGUCCACGCCGUAAACGAUGAGUGCUAAGUGUUGGGGGGUUUCCGCCCCUCAGUGCUGCAGCUAACGCAUUAAGCACUCCGCCUGGGGAGUACGGUCGCAAGACUGAAACUCAAAGGAAUUGACGG
rnacentral:rRNA from 1 species